UGGGGAAUAUUGCACAAUGGGCGCAAGCCUGAUGCAGCCAUGCCGCGUGUAUGAAGAAGGCCUUCGGGUUGUAAAGUACUUUCAGCGAGGAGGAAGGCAUUAAGGUUAAUAACCUUGGUGAUUGACGUUACUCGCAGAAGAAGCACCGGCUAACUCCGUGCCAGCAGCCGCGGUAAUACGGAGGGUGCAAGCGUUAAUCGGCAUUACUGGGCGUAAAGCGCACGCAGGCGGUCUGUCAAGUCGGAUGUGAAAUCCCCGGGCUCAACCUGGGAACUGCAUUCGAAACUGGCAGGCUAGAGUCUUGUAGAGGGGGGUAGAAUUCCAGGUGUAGCGGUGAAAUGCGUAGAGAUCUGGAGGAAUACCGGUGGCGAAGGCGGCCCCCUGGACAAAGACUGACGCUCAGGUGCGAAAGCGUGGGGAGCAAACA
rnacentral:rRNA from 1 species